CUGUCGACUAACGUAAACGCUUCAACAACCUGCCUCAUUACACUCCAACACACACACACACACACACACACACACACGCACACUGCUCUGGUAAUCAGCUGCCCCUGCAUGCCUUUCUCUCUCAGGUCAAUAACAAGAGAGCUUAUUGUGAGGCUGUGACGGGAAACAAAACCCCAAAUAAUGUUUAUUUAUUCAUGAAAACAAAAACAAAAAAACAAAGUAUUUUUUUAAGAUUAUUGAUGUUGUAAAAGAAAACCGUUUUUAAAUAAAGAAAUCAGUGUAAGCAGCACUUGAUGCUCCUUAUGAAGGUUAAUUAAAUAUGUGUUAAAAUGCUUUUUAAAAUGCUUUAUUAUACAGUACAGAAACUUUAUUUGAUUGAAUCAUGUGCUGGCGAGUUAACGUAAGGAAACAGAGAGCUACUCGCUUUCUCUUACUAUUAUUUCAUCUCAUUAAAUUAAUGUUUUAAUGUCACGUCUUAUUUGUGUAGAUUAGUUGUUGCUGUGAUAUCUGGUGGGGAUCCUGAAUAAAUAGUCAUGUAAAGUAAAUCUGCAAAUAGAGAGCAGGGUACAUGAUACAUGGGGCUAAAUACAUUCACUAUGGCUUUCGGUGCGUUUGUGGUCUUUGUUGACAUUUAAAAAAAAUGAAGAACAUUCCCAGACUUUAAAGUGGUGAAGAUUUGUCUCAGCAGUAAUGUCUCAAAUCUAAAAGUACCAAAGUAAAAGUCCCCAAAAUACUCACCUCACGAGCCGGCGAACCGAGGAACGAAGCUUCAUCAAAAACGUCUCGGUUGGCUUCUGAUUCGUUGGUUUGUACAGAAACGCGUUCUGUCGCCACUUUCCCCGUGUUUCCACUUCCCAUGGAGGGAAGAAGAGAAUGAGAGGAAGCAGGACACGAGGUCAAAGGAAAGGGCCGAGCGGCAGGAAGAGGAAACGAGAGACGCUCCCCGCUUGAAAAUGUUGCUGCUCUUAACCGUUUGCAGGUCAUUGAAGACGCUGCAGCCAGAUGACUCACCAGGACCAAUCAACGCUCUCCCCCACACUGCCAUCUCUCCACUGGCUCCCCGUAGCGUUUAGGAGACACCUUCACUUACAGAGCACUCCAUGGUCAGGCUCCCCACACAUGGACCUGAUCUACUUCACCCUACACAGCCGCUCACACUCUCAGGUCUAAUGCCACAGAACCUCUGUCUGUCCCUCGUAGCCGACCUUAAGACCCGCGGGGAUCACGCUGCUGAGGCAGUAGCUCCUGAACUGUAGAACGCUCCGCCUUGUUGAUUCUGUGAGCGGAUUCACUCAUCGGCUCCAACGCACCUCUUCAGCCUGGCGUUUGUGUUGUUUUACACUGUUUUACAUGGUGGAUUCUCUCAUGUGUUCAUGUUGAGUUCCUGUAGAGCACUUUGUGAUCUCUGUGAAUAAACGUCACGUUUUACUUACUUCUGUCCUCCAAACAGAACCAACACAAGAAAACCCUGUUUUAAGAUGUUUGUUCUGUGCCCCCACAUCUUCCUCCUCUUCCUCAUCUGGACCUUCCAAGACGACCCCCCCCCCCCGAGGCCUCCAUCACUUCCUGAAGGGGAGCUGGUUUCUUUCCUCCUGGUUCAUCCAUGACAGUAAUGUUUGGUUCUUUUUGACCUGAAGGACCCGUUUUGGGGUCUUCAGAGUCUCUGGGUCAUGACGUAGGCGUGCACUCUGCAGGUGGAGCGUGUUACCGUGAAGGGGCUCCUUCCUUCUGGGUGGUGGAGCACACGUCCUGACAGCCUCACGUACCAGGGUUACACCGUCUUCCUGCUUCUCAUCACAUCACAAACAGGAAUCUUCUCUUUGCUCGGAUGCUUCAAAGUAUUUAUUGUGUUGUUUUCUUUGUUAUCAGUCGUCUUUCUGUUCGUUCUCGACUUUUAAAAAGUGGUUUUGUUUUGUCAUUUUAAAGAGGACGACCGUCUUUAGGAAAAUAAAAAGUAAUGUGAAGGAAGGA